rnacentral:lncRNA from 1 species
GAUAAAGUGCAACUCUGCUGUGUAGAAGAGUAAUUGACUUGUAUUUUCUGGUAUUUUCUCUAUACAGAAAUUAGUUCAAACUAUUUCCAAGAUGUUCAAAAAUUGGAUGUGGCUGCAUGAAACAGGUUAAAAAGUUUGAUAUGGUAGGGACUGACUAUGGAAUGGCAAUGUGAGGAGUGUGGCAGACAGACCCUCUCCCCAGUUUGGAAAGCUUCUAUUGACAUGUCUUCUAGCUCACUGAUUCUUUUCUCAGCCAUGUCCAGUCUACUGAUUAAUGCACCAAAAGCAUUGUAUUAGUCCAUUUUCACACUGCUGAUAGAGACAUACCCAAGACUGGACAAUUUACAAAAGAAAGAGGUUUAAUUGGACUCACAGUUCCAUGUGGCUGAGGAGGCUUCUCAAUCAUGGUGGAAGGCAAGGAGGAGCAAGUCACAUCUUUUGUGGAUGGCGGCAGGCAAAAAGAGAGCUUCUGCAGGCAAACUCUCGUUUUUAAAGCCAUCAGAUGUCAUGAGACUUCUUCACGAUCAAGAAAACAGCACAGGAAAGACCUGAGCCCAUGAUUCAA